rnacentral:rRNA from 1 species
UACGUAGGGUGCAAGCGUUGUCCGGAAUUAUUGGGCGUAAAGAGCUCGUAGGCGGUCUGUCGCGUCGGCUGUGAAAACCCGGGGCUCAACCCCGGGCCUGCAGUCGAUACGGGCAGACUAGAGUGUGGUAGGGAGACUGGAAUUCCUGGUGUAGCGGUGAAAUGCGCAGAUAUCAGGAGGAACACCGGUGGCGAAGGCGGGUCUCUGGGCCAUAACUGACGCUGAGGAGCGAAAGCGUGGGGGAGCGAACAGG